rnacentral:siRNA from 1 species
CCGGUGUAGUUGUGUUCGGAUC